GGGGGAGUAGUCCUUAGUGGUUAGCACAUUUGAUUCACACCUCAAGAGUUGGGGGUUUGAAUCCAAUCUCCGCCC